UCAAACUCCAUCCACUCUGUGCUGCCCUUUUGCACAAUUCUUAUUCCUUCUCUCUCCUUUCCUUCAAAUUUCAAUUCAUUCCUAUCCUUCCAUAAUUGCCAAAGUAUGUUAGCAAUCAAGGCUAUAUGCUGCUUUCCUUCGUUCCUACUCCUGGCUUGAGCUAAUGCUGCCUACCACUGCUUAAAACAACCUGUUUGGUUCCAGAUACCAUCCCAUUGUAUUGGAGCAAGCUUCCAUACCUUCUGAGCCUAAGGACAGUGGAACAAAAUGUGUUCCACUAUUUCCAUAUUAUCUCCACAUCUUGAGCAAAAUGGUGAUCCUUGUUUUAUUCUUCUGAAUAUUGUUUCCCUUGCU
rnacentral:lncRNA from 1 species